UUCAAAAGACAAUGUCUUCAGGCAGAGUCUAGCAAAGCAGCUUCCCCUGGAAAUCCUCAGGGAAGUUAUUUUGUCAGCGGGUGACUGCAUAUUUGACACUUUCUCUGGUUUGCAGAAGGGAUGUGCUCACUCAAGAAGUUUUUCGGAAAGCGGCACACUUUGCCUGGCUAGACAUAGUGGCCAACUGGAAGAAUUGUCCUCCUGUCACCCGGAACGAGUUCAGACGGAUGUACGGCAUCAGGGAAUGCUUGCAGUGCAGAGCCCUUUUCAAGUUUAACCCACCAGGGUACAGGGAAGAGGCCAGCAUGGUGAUCUUCUGGGCUGUUGUUUACACAGGAUUUUGUUCCAAGGACUGUUUUUUUUUUUUUUUUUUUUUUUUUUGCGGCAUUAAACACAUUUGUGUGUUGAGUUCAUUGAAGGGAAAUAGAGAAUGAACUGAGAUC